CCUACGGGAGGCAGCAGUGGGGAAUUUUGGACAAUGGGCGCAAGCCUGAUCCAGCAAUGCCGCGUGAGUGAAGAAGGCCUUCGGGUUGUAAAGCUCUUUUGUCAGGGAAGAAACGGUGGGGGCUAAUAUCUCCUACUAAUGACGGUACCUGAAGAAUAAGCACCGGCUAACUACGUGCCAGCAGCCGCGGUAAUACGUAGGGUGCAAGCGUUAAUCGGAAUUACUGGGCGUAAAGCGUGCGCAGGCGGUUUUGUAAGUCUGUCGUGAAAGCCCCGGGCUCAACCUGGGAAUUGCGAUGGAGACUGCAAGGCUUGAAUCUGGCAGAGGGGGGUAGAAGUUCCACAUGUAGCAGUGAAAUGCGUAGAGAUGUGGAGGAACACCGAUGGCGAAGGCAGCCCCCUGGGUCAAGAUUGACGCUCAUGCACGAAAGCGUGGGGAGCAAACAGGAUUAGAUACCCUGGUAGUCCACGCCCUAAACGAUGUCUACUAGUUGUCGGGUUUUAAUUAACUUGGUAACGCAGCUAACGCGUGAAGUAGACCGCCUGGGGAGUACGGUCGCAAGAUUAAAACGUCAAAGGAAUUGACGG
rnacentral:rRNA from 1 species